rnacentral:misc_RNA from 1 species
GAUGAAGAACGCAGCGAAAUGCGAUAAGUAAUGUGAAUUGCAGAAUUCAGUGAAUCAUCGAAUCUUUGAACGCACAUUGCGCCCGCCAGUAUUCUGGCGGGCAUGCCUGUUCGAGCGUCAUUUCAACCAUCAAGCCCCCGGGCUUGUGUUGGGGACCUGCGGCUGCCGCAGGCCCUGAAAAGCAGUGGCGGGCUCGCUGUCACACCGAGCGUAGUAGCAUACAUCUCGCUCUGGGCGUGCUGCGGGUUCCGGCCGUUAAACUACCCUUUUAACCCAAGGUUGACCUCGGAUCAGGUAGGAAGACCCGCUGAACUUAAGCAUAUCAAUAAGCGGAGGA